rnacentral:rRNA from 1 species
UGCCAGCCGCCGCGGUAAUACGGAGGAUCCAAGCGUUAUCCGGAAUUAUUGGGUUUAAAGGGUCCGCAGGCGGUCUAUUAAGUCAGAGGUGAAAUCUUGCAGCUCAACUGUAAAAUUGCCUUUGAUACUGGUAGACUUGAGUCAUUGUGAAGUGGUUAGAAUGUGUGGUGUAGCGGUGAAAUGCAUAGAUAUCACACAGAAUACCAAUUGCGAAGGCAGAUCACUAACAAUGUACUGACGCUCAUGGACGAAAGCGUGGGGAGCGAACAGGAUUAGAUA